AGGAAGAAGUGGAAAGAGCCGAUGCGGACGAGUCGUCGUUCUCCUCGGGACACAUGGGUCCGAUCUCGAGGCUGUUCAUCCUGGAGAGGCCGGAGGUGAGGUUGUCGGAACUCUUCCAGAUCGGAUCCUUCUCGCCGGACUCGGCCAGAACGAACCUCUUGAUGCGCUUCAUACCGAGCGCAGCGUCGACGAUCCAGCUCAUCAAUUCGAUUAUUACAAAGUGUUUCUCCUGCUCCUCAUUGCUCUCGGACGUUCCAAAUGCCGGAGCAGUUUCACCUGUCCGCUACGUGUUGUAAGACUGAGACCACACGGCAGGGAAAAAGAGAGCUGUCUUAUUCAAGAGGAGUCGCGCCCCCCCCCCCCUCUCUCUCACCGCAUACACAGCGCCAUACGGCUGUCAGCUCUCGUGCCGCCGCCGCCGUCGCAGGACACACACGCGCAUAGAGGCCACGCACACACAGGGAUAAACAAUGCAAAUCCGAAGAAGAAUAAGAAGAAGAAGAAGAUGCGCGCGCGUGUGUGUAAAGUGCUAGUCAUCUACCUGAGGCGUCUGCGCCGCUCGGCUAGGCCAUUGGGCAAACUCUGCUGUCCCUGUUGGCUGGUCUGAUGCUGGAGCUUGUCCCCGGGGAAACUGUCCCCCGUCUCGGCCAGCUCCUCACCGCCGGCGUCAUCCUCCGUCUCGCCCAGGACAAAACUCACCGGUUCUGCCAUCGUCUUUUCACUCGCCGACGAUGAUGAUGAUGAUGACGACAAUUUAUCGACCUCCUUGGCUGUUUCCUCGACUGUGCUCCUCGUCGACGCCGCUUCUUCCUUAACGUUACCUUCAAGUGCAAAAUUCGACUCUAUACGUGCGCACUCGAACUUUUUUUUUUUUUUUUUUUUUUUUUUUUGUUUCUCGAAGAGAGAUGAGGAUGUGUGUGAUUCUCAACGCACCGCAUGCCCCAGGAAUAUGCGUGUGUAUGGACUGCACUUGGUUUUCUGCGUUUUCGUCAUGCACAAAUUUUUCGCGGCGGCAACCUGUUGAGUCGCGUCAUGGAUGUUCGAAGGAUCGAUUUGUAUGUGUGUGUGUGUGUGCGUGUGUAUUAAGGAGAGUCAGCAGGGAAAACGAUCGCUAC